rnacentral:RNase_P_RNA from 1 species
UGAGUCGACCGGGCGGUCGCGGCCGGUGAAACGGCGGACGGGUUCACCCCGUCCGUGCAGACACCGUGCCGAGGAAAGUCCGGACUCCACAGUGGCAGGGUGGUUGUCAACGGCAACCCAGGGUGACCUGCGGGACAGUGCCACAGAAAACAAACCGCCCCGGAUCCCGGGAAACCGGGUCGCGGGGUAAGGGUGAAACGGUGCGGUAAGAGCGCACCAGCACCGCAGGUGACUGCGGUGGCUAGGUAAACCCCACCCGGAGCAAGGUAAGAGGGCGCACCGACGGAUCCUCGCGGAGACACCGGUGUGCCUGCGCGGACGACCGAGGGCUGCCCGCCCGAGUCCGCGGGUCAACCGCUCGAGGCGCCCAGCGAUGGUGCGUCCAGAUGGAUGACCGCCACCGCGCCGGUCACACGGCGCGGUACAGAAUCCGGCUUACAGGUCGGCUCAUUCG